rnacentral:misc_RNA from 1 species
AAGUCGUAACAAGGUAUCCGUAGGUGAACCUGCGGAUGGAUCAUUAAAAGUAUAACAUACUUUACACUCUCGUGAACUUGUUUAUUUAACCAAAAAAUGGUGGUGAUGCGUCGAUGGGUGUAACAGCCUAUUUGCGUAUUAUUACUCAUUUUUUUAUUAUUACACUAUUUACCCUUUGUAUUAAUUUGAAUCUAUUUGGCUAUGCGGGAAACUGCAUAACUGAAAAAAUAUAAAAAAUUUUCGUG